rnacentral:tRNA from 1 species
ACCUGGGUGGCUCAGUCGGUUAAGCAUCUAACUUCGACUCAGGUCAUGAUCUCAUGGUUCGCGGGUUCGAGUCCCGCGUCGGGCU